rnacentral:rRNA from 1 species
GACGAACGCUGGCGGCGUGCUUAACACAUGCAAGUCGAACGGAAAGGCCCUGCUUUUGUGGGGUGCUCGAGUGGCGAACGGGUGAAUAACACGUGAGUAACCUGCCCUCGACUUUGGGAUAACUUCAGGAAACUGGGGCUAAUACCGGAUAGGAGCUCCUGCUGCAUGGUGGGGGUUGGAAAGUUUCGGCGGUUGGGGAUGGACUCGCGGCUUAUCAGCUUGUUGGUGGGGUAGUGGCUUACCAAGGCUUUGACGGGUAGCCGGCCUGAGAGGGUGACCGGCCACAUUGGGACUGAGAUACGGCCCAGACUCCUACGGGAGGCAGCAGUGGGGAAUAUUGCACAAUGGGCGGAAGCCUGAUGCAGCAACGCCGCGUGCGGGAUGACGGCCUUCGGGUUGUAAACCGCUUUCGCCUGUGACGAAGCGUGAGUGACGGUAAUGGGUAAAGAAGCACCGGCUAACUACGUG